GACAACAUUCUCAAGGGCUGCGUCCAGAAUCUUCCCAGUCUUCCCCUCUUAUGUUGGAGGUCAAAAACUGUAGCCUGGACUCACAAUACUCAUAAAGGACUGUAAAUAGUGUUUAUUAUUUGUACUUAGAUUCUGAGGAGCACAUUUAAUGGUCAUUUUACCAUCGCAAGAUGCAAAGGAGACCUCCAGCAGACCAGCGGCUCAUUCCCGAGCUCCAACCGGGAUCUGCAGCUCCGAUCUGCGGGCAACAGGAGGAUCUCAGACCGCCCAUGUGGAGGAUGAUCCAUCGCGCUUUCCGUGGUGCUGAAAUGAUUUAAUCUGAUCCGAUCACACCUGAAGCUCAUCACCAUCAUCUUCAUCAUCUGCACAGGUGUGUGUGACGGUAAUGCUCUUCAUGGACUGUAAGAUGCUGGAUGUUCUGCGGGGCAGGAGGCGGUUGCGUGUCUGGGUCUGUAAGCCGCCCUGCUCCUUCUGGUUUCUGCUGCUGUUUGCAGUGGGAGGACUGGUUUUGUUCAUACACCUGCAGGAUCUCUCUGAUAUGGUGCUCCAGCAGUCUCCAGUGUCCAGCUGUCUGCGCUCAGGGACGCAUCUCAAUCCCGAACGUCACGCCGCAGACUCGGACAAGAGCACUCGGAGGUUGUCUGAUCCCAGGAAAUCUGGAACAUCUCUGUUCUCUGUCUGAAAUCAGCAAGAUUGAUUCCUGGCUGUAAUGGAGCUGCUGGUUAAGCCGUGGUGACAGAUUCAGGCUAGCUGCACUCGCGCCCUUCAGUGCACACUUUACUAGUGCCCUUGAGUGUGUACUUCACAAGCUGAAAAAAAGCUUGCGUGGCCUAACUGAAUUUGAAUGCUCUGUAAAAAUAAAACACGAUAUUGUUCUGG
rnacentral:lncRNA from 1 species